GACGAACGCUGGCGGCGUGCUUAACACAUGCAAGUCGAACGGAAAGGCCCUGCUUUUGUGGGGUGCUCGAGUGGCGAACGGGUGAGUAACACGUGAGUAACCUGCCCUUGACUUUGGGAUAACUUCAGGAAACUGGGGCUAAUACCGGAUAGGAGCUCCUGCUGCAUGGUGGGGGUUGGAAAGUUUCGGCGGUUGGGGAUGGACUCGCGGCUCAUCAGCUUGUUGGUGGGGUAGUGGCUUACCAAGGCUUUGACGGGUAGCCGGCCUGAGAGGGUGACCGGCGGCAUUGGGACUGAGAUACGGCCCAGACUCCUACGGGAGGCAGCAGUGGGGAAUAUUGCACAAUGGGCGGAAGCCUGAUGCAGCAACGCCGCGUGCGGGAUGACGGCCUUCGGGUGGUAAACCGCUUUCGCCUGUGACGAAGCGUGAGUGACGGUAAUGGGUAAAGAAGCACCGGCUAACUACGUG
rnacentral:rRNA from 1 species